rnacentral:rRNA from 1 species
ACUUGGAUAACCGUAGUAAUUCUAGAGCUAAUACAUGCAACGACGCCCGACCGUUUCACUACGGAAGGGCUGUAUUUAUUGGAUACCAAAACCAUCCUUCCCUCGGGAAGUUUUGUUUGAUGAUUCACAAUAACUGAUCGGAUCGCCACUGUGGUGGCGACAGGUCAUUCAACAUUCUGCCCUAUCAGCUUUCGAUGGUUGUGUAGUGGACAACCAUGGCCAUAACGGGUAACGGAGAAUCAGGGUUCGAUUCCGGAGAAGGAGCUUGAGAAUUGGCUACUACAUCUAAGGAAGGCAGCAGGCGCGCAAUUACCCAAUCCCGAUUCGGGGAGGUAGUGACAAAAAAUAACAAUACCGGGCCUUUUUGGGCUUGGUAAUUGGAAUGAGGGAGAGUUAAACGGACCAUCGAGUAUCCAUUGGAGGGCAAGUCUGGUGCCAGCAGCUGCGGUAAUACCAGCUCCAAUAGCGUAUAUUAAAGUUGUUGCAGUUAAAAAGCUCGUAGUUGGACUUGUGUGCGCUGUCCGCCGGUGGCCUGCGCCCAAAAGGGCGUUUCGGUUCGGCCCCGGUGGCGCCUUGAAAUCUGCAGCUGGGGGGACGUUGGCCUUAACUGGUCGGCGACCGCACGCCGGCUGCUCGGUUACUGUGAGAAAAUUAGAGUGUUCAAGGCAGGCAUUGGGUGCAAUUGAAUACAUUAGCAUGGAAUAAUAAAAUAUGGCUCCUGCCGUAUUUUGUUGGUUUUGACUGGUGGGAGUAAUGAUUGAUAGGGACGGUUGGGGGUGCUAGUAUUGAGCGGCCAGAGGUGAAAUUCAUGGAUUCGCUCAAGACUAACUUAUGCGAAAGCAUUCACCAAGGACGUCCUCUUUAAUCAAGAACGAAAGUUGGGGGAUCGAAGACGAUCAGAUACCGUCGUAGUCUCAACCAUAAACUAUGUCGACUUGGGAUCGGCGGUAGUUUUUUCAUUAAGACACUGUCGGGACCACGGGAGAAAUCAAAGUGUCUGGACUCUGGGGGAAGUAUGGUCGCAAGGCUGAAACUUGAAGGAAUUGACGGGGCACCACCAGGAGUGGAGCCUGCGGCUUAAUUUGACUCAACACGGGGAAACUUACCAGGUCCAGAGAUGUAGAGGAUUGACAGAUUGAAGCUCUUUCUUGAUCACUUCGGUGGUGGUGCAUGGCCGUUCUUAGUUGGUGGAGUGAUUUGUCUGGUUAAUUCCGUUAACGAACGAGACCUCAGCCUGCUAGUGUAGUCGGCUGGAUUGCCUUUGGCGAUCCGUGAUUUCGACUUCUUAGAGGGACAAUCGACGCGCAGUCGAUGGUAGUUUGAGGCAAUAACAGGUCUGUGAUGCCCUUAGAUGUUCU